rnacentral:rRNA from 1 species
UACGUAGGGUGCAAGCGUUGUCCGGAAUUAUUGGGCGUAAAGAGCUCGUAGGCGGUCUGUCGCGUCGGCUGUGAAAGCCCGUGGCUCAACCCCGGGCCUGCAGUCGAUACGGGCAGACUAGAGUGCGGUAGGGGAGACUGGAAUUCCUGGUGUAGCGGUGAAAUGCGCAGAUAUCAGGAGGAACACCGGUGGCGAAGGCGGGUCUCUGGGCCGUAACUGACGCUGAGGAGCGAAAGCGUGGGGAGCGAACAGG